AAUAAAGUUCAAGAAGCGUAAAAGAAUCGUUGGAUCAAAAGUCAUAAUAAAAAGCAUGAGAAAGGGAAGCUUAAUUGUUGACUUUGACCUCGUCAUACCAGACAGCCCAACAUCAAAAGUACUCGUCGUUGACACCGUGUACAAGCUUGUGAAUGGUCUAGUAUUUGUCAACUUCUCGGGAGAAAUAGUCACCAUUACCAGUGCUACAAUACAGCAUUCAACA